rnacentral:rRNA from 1 species
GACGAACGCUGGCGGCAUGCUUAACACAUGCAAGUCGAACGGAAAGGCCCUGCUUUUGUGGGGUGCUCGAGUGGCGAACGGGUGAGUAACACGUGAGUAACCUGCCCUUGACUUUGGGAUAACUUCAGGAAACUGGGGCUAAUACCGGAUAGGAGCUCCUGCUGCAUGGGGGGGGUUGGAAAGUUUCGGCGGUUGGGGAUGGACUCGCGGCUUAUCAGCUUGUUGGUGGGGUAGUGGCUUACCAAGGCUUUGACGGGUAGCCGGCCUGAGAGGGUGACCGGCCACAUUGGGACUGUGAUACGGCCCAGACUCCUACGGGAGGCAGCAGUGGGGAAUAUUGCACAAUGGGCGGAAGCCUGAUGCAGCAACGCCGCGUUCGGGAUGACGGCCUUCGGGUUGUAAACCGCCUUCGCCUGUGACGAAGCGUGAGUGACGGUAAUGGGUAAAGAAGCACCGGCUAACUACGUG